AAGCAAAAACAUAGUAUAAAUACACAUCAACACAAAUUCAUGCAUCAUCUGUAUUCAUGCUGAUAUUUUAAUUUCAUUAAUAAAGGAGUCUAUCUUCCAAUAGUUUAUUUUCUGCUCAAUAGACAAAUAAUAAUAGAAUGACAUGCUGAAGUGAUAAACUUUCAGCCUUGUGGUUUUGUCACUUCCUGUGUAAAGUGUCCACUCCCCCUUCACUCUGCCUGCUGUGUGUGAGAAUAGAAACGACAGAGACAGUGAAGGUACAGAGGAUGAGGAAGUGAGUGUCAGUCUCCACAGAUCUGGGCUCAGUGACACACACACAUAUGGAUCCUCUGAUGCUCCUGUUUCUUCUCAUUGCUGGGCUCACAGGUGUGUCCAUGGUGAAAUGGAUGCGUGUACAAAGAGGAGGAUCUAUCACCAUCCCAUGUUUCUAUGAUGACAGAUAUAAACCUCAUGUGAAAUACUGGUGCAGAGGGUAUAAUGUAAGUUCAUGUACUCCCAUAGUACACACUGACUCUCCACAGGAGGGCAAAGUGUCAAUCAGAGAUGAUCCUGACCAGCAAGUCUUCACUGUGACCAUCAACAAUUUGACAACUGGGGACUCUGAUCGGUACUGGUGUGGUGUGGAAAUCAGUGGAGCCUCAGAUGGAGAUCGGGUUAACCUGUCAGUCACUGAUGCUCCUUCGGGGCUGUCAGUGGACAAACAGGAGGUGACGGGUGUGGAUGGAGACAGUGUCCGUGUUCAGUGUUACUAUGGAAACAACAAAAGACAUAGGAUGUGGUGUAAGAUUGGGGGCUCCUGUGCAUCAGAGACAUCUGGGAGUUUGGAUGGGAGGCCUGUCCUGAUCAGGAAUGACACAGAAAAUAAAACCUUCAUUGUGACAAUGAGGGGACUGGAGAGGAAGGACACUGGCUGGUAUUGGUGUGCUGCUGGAUAUCAGCAGAUUCCAGUUCAUAUUACUAUCAAA